UGGAUCAUGUGGUUCAAUUCGACGCUACGCGAAGAACCUUACCUGGGCUCGAACGACUAGUGGUACCCUUUAUGAAAGUAGAGGGGACCCGCAAGGGAGCUAGCCGAGGUGCUGCAUGGUUGUCGUCAGCUCGUGUCGUGAGAUGUUGGGUUAAGUCCCGCAACGAGCGCAACCCCUGUCCUGUGUUGCUACUCCGCAAGGAGAGGACUCUCAGGAGACUGCCGUGGAUAACACGGAGGAAGUGGGAUGACGUCAAAUCAUCAUGGCCUUUAUGUCCAGGGCUACACACGUGAUACAAUGGUACAGACAGAGGGCUGCAAGACCGUAAGGUGGAGCCAAUCCCUAAACUGUAUCCCAGUUCAGAUCGAGGGCUGCAAUUCGCCCUCGUGAAGUUGGAAUCGCUAGUAAUCGCAGAUCAGCAGGCUGCGGUCGAAUACGUUCCCGGGCCUU
rnacentral:rRNA from 1 species